GUGUUUCCCUGUUGGAUUUAGAGCUUCUUAGCUUACCGUUCCUUGUUGGAUUUAGGGGCUCUUAUCGUUGAGAGAAAGAGAGAGAGAGAGAGAGAAUGGGACCAGGAGGGCCUGGAGGGCCGGGACCAGGUGGCCCGGGUUUCGGUCCAGGGCCUGGAGGACCAUGUGGCUGCCUCUCUUCUUGCUUCUACUUCUUGUGUUGCUGCUGGUUGCUAGAGGAUUGUUGUGGCCCAUUUUUUGGUGGGCCUCCAGGACCCCCUGGGCCUCCACUUUGACUGCAUCUAUAAAACUAUUUUAUGUGAUCAGAUGUAUAAUAAAUAUUGCAGAUGGAUGUGUAAUGUGUGUGCUUCACAACAAUAAAGGAGUGUUUAGUGCUUGCUUCAUGUCCUGUAUCUUGUAUGAACUUCUUUUAUUUCAUUAUGUGGAAUGUUGGGUUUGGCAUGGAAUCA